AUACGUAGGGGGCAAGCGUUGUCCGGAAUCACUGGGCGUAAAGCGCGCGCAGGCGGCCAUUUGCGUCCGGGGUGAAAGCCCAAGGCUCAACCUUGGGAUUGCCUUGGAUACGGGAUGGCUUGAGGAUCGGAGAGGCAAGGGGAAUUCCACGUGUAGCGGUGAAAUGCGUAGAGAUGUGGAGGAACACCUGUGGCGAAGGCGCCUUGCUGGCCGAUUUCUGACGCUGAGGCGCGAAAGCGUGGGGAGCAAACAGGAUUAGAUACCCUGGUAGUCCACGCCGUAAACGAUGAGUGCUAGGUGUUGGGGGGUACCACCCUCAGUGCCGAAGCUAACGCAUUAAGCACUCCGCCUGGGGAGUACGGUCGCAAGACUGAA
rnacentral:rRNA from 1 species